CUAUUCGCAUGCUAGGAUACUGCUAUACUAAGGGCGGGAGAAGUCUGAGGUACUACAGGGGUAGGGUGAAAUCUUAUAAUCCCUGUAGACCACCAGUGGCGAAGCGUCAGACUGGAACGCGCCUGACGGUGAGGGACGAAAGCCAGGGGAGCGAACCGGAUUAGAUACCCGGGUAGUCCUGGCCGUAAACGAUGCAUACUAGUGAUGGCACGGCCAUGAGCCGUGUCAGUGCCGUAGGAAACCGUUAAGUGUGCCGCCUGGGAAGUACGGUCGCAAGGCUGAAACUUGAAGGAAUUGGCGGGGGAGCACCACAAGGGGUGAAGCCUGCGGUUCAAUUGGACUCAACGCCGGGAAACUUGCCAGGGGAGACAGCAAAAUGACGGUCAGGUUGACGACCUUACCUAAUGAGCUGAAGGAGGUGCAAUGGCCGUCGCCAGUUCGUGCUGUGAGGUAUCCUGUUAAAGUCAGGCAACGAACGAGACCCGGCGCCUUUAUUUGCCAGCAAGAAGUUACGAUUACGUUGGGAACAACUACAGGGACCGCCGUCGAUAAGACGGACGGAAGGAGCGGGCAAAGG
rnacentral:rRNA from 1 species